rnacentral:rRNA from 1 species
UGCAAGUCGAACGAAGUAGCAAUACUUAGUGGCAGACGGGUGAGUAACAUGUAGGUAUCUUCCCUAUGGUGAGGAAUAACACGAGGAAACUUGUGCUAAUACCUCAUAAGUCUUUACAGAGAAAGCUUUAUGCGCCAUUGGAUGAGCCUGCACUUGAUUAGUUUGUUGGUGGGGUAAUGGCCUACCAAGACAAUGAUCAAUAGCUGAUUUGAGAGGAUGAUCAGCCACAUUGGGACUGAGACACGGCCCAAACUCCUACGGGAGGCAGCAGUAGGGAAUCUUGCACAAUGGGGGAAACCCUGAUGCAGCGAUGCCACGUGAGUGAAGAAGGCCUUUGGGUUGUAAAGCUCUUUCGUCGGGGAAGAAAAUGACUGUACCCGAAUAAGAAGGUCCGGCUAACUUCGUGCCAGCAGCCGCGGUAAUACGAAGGGACCUAGCGUAGUUCGGAAUUACUGGGCUUAAAGAGUUCGUAGGUGGUUAAAAAAGUUGGUGGUGAAAUCCCAGAGCUUAACUCUGGAACUGCCAUCAAAACUUUUUAGCUAGAGUAUGAUAGAGGAAAGCAGAAUUUCUAGUGUAGAGGUGAAAUUCGUAGAUAUUAGAAAGAAUACCAAUUGCGAAGGCAGCUUUCUGGAUCAUUACUGACACUGAGGAACGAAAGCAUGGGUAGCGAAGAGGAUUAGAUACCCUCGUAGUCCAUGCCGUAAACGAUGUGUGUUAGACGUUGGAAAUUUAUUUUCAGUGUCGCAGCGAAAGCAAUAAACACACCGCCUGGGGAGUACGACCGCANGGUUAAAACUCAAAUGAAUUGANNGGNACCCGCACAAGUAGUGGAGCAUGUGG